GCCAAUCCAAGUUAGCUGUCCUGGCUCCACCCCCACCCAGCUCCCCAUGCCCUCUCAAUAGUCCCCCCACACAAGAAACCAAAAGAGUCUUUGCACUGCUGGGAGUUUUCUUUGAUCCCUGGAAGAGGGCUAAGCUAAGCCCUGUAGUGCAGUUCAGAUGUUGUCUUGCCUUUUUGUACACCACUUGUUCCACGAAAAGAAGGCAAAGACUAAAAAGGAGCAGUGCUCUGAGAAAUAUUUGCCUUCUGCUGAACGUAGAAAGAGAAGGAGAGUUCCACAACUAUUGCUUCAUCACCAUACUUUUCAGCAAAUAAAUAUUGUUCAUCAAUAAAACCUCAGGCCGUGAGUCAAUAAUGGUUGAAUAUUAGGAAUUUUCUGGUAUGACGAUGCUACUCUGAAUCAAUAAAUGAAACCUCAUGUUACACAAAGGAUACUGAGCAAUUUUGUUUCAUAAUAGGUUGCAGAAAGUGACCACACUUUGCAUUUCCUGCCCUUAGAGUGGUUUUUGGCUUUCAAAGUCUCCAUCAAUAUCAAGAAAGUAAAAGUCAAGUGAGAUACAGCCUGCAAUGAAAAGACAUGAAAACUAACUAAG